rnacentral:rRNA from 1 species
CCAAUAGCGUAUAUUAAAGUUGUUGCAGUUAAAAAGCUCGUAGUUGAAUUUCGGGAUCAAUAUGUUGGUCGUGCCUUGGUACGUACUGGCAUUAUUGGUUUCUACCUUCUGAAGAACCUCGAUGUCAUUAAUUUGGUGUCUUGGGGAAUCAGGACUGUUACUUUGAAAAAAUUAGAGUGUUUAAAGCAGGCUCGCGCUUGAAUACAUUAGCAUGGAAUAAUGAAAUAGGACGUUUGAUUCUAUUUUGUUGGUUUCUAGGAUUGACGUAAUGAUUAAUAGGGAUAGUUGGGGGCAUUAGUAUUCAAUUGUCAGAGGUGAAAUUCUUGGAUUUAUUGAAGACUAACUACUGCGAAAGCAUUUGCCAAGGAUGUUUUCAUUAAUCAAGAACGAAAGUUAGGGGAUCGAAGACGAUCAGAUACCGUCGUAGUCUUAACUAUAAACUAUGCCGACUAGGGAUCGGAUGAUGUUAAUUUUUUAAUGACUCAUUCGGCGCCUUACG